rnacentral:rRNA from 1 species
GGCCUAACACAUGCAAGUCGAGCGGUAACAGGACUAGCUUGCUAGUUGCCGACGAGCGGCGGACGGGUGCGUAACACGUAGGAAUCUGCCCGGUAGUGGGGGAUAGCCCGGAGAAAUCCGGAUUAAUACCGCAUACGCCUUACGAGGGAAAGGAGGGGACUCUUCGGAGCCUUUCGCUAUAGGAUGAGCCUGCGUCGGAUUAGCUAGUUGGUGGGGUAAAGGCCUACCAAGGCGACGAUCCGUAGCUGGUCUGAGAGGAUGAUCAGCCACACUGGGACUGAGACACGGCCCAGACUCCUACGGGAGGCAGCAGUGGGGAAUAU